rnacentral:lncRNA from 1 species
UUUGGAGAAAGGUUAGAGCUAAGAGAGAAAGGAUACACUGAUGGUAGAAUGCCUACAUCAGUAUGUAUUCUUGAGUUUUGUUAAAUCGGUAUAUUGGAAGGCUUCCAAGCAAUUGAUCAAUGAAAGUUGAAUAUGCUAUAGAUGUGUAGGAUGAAUUCUGAUUCUUGUAAUAGUUGUGGAACUUGAUGUCAUGAUAUCAGAUGCUAUGACACUGUACUGCAAAGAUAAUGGUCUGUAACUCUUGUUAAAGAGCCAACGUCUCAUCAGAAGUUCAAACACAUAGAACAGAGAUAUACGCGAUUAUCUCAAGUAAAAAUAUAUAGAGGUACAGAGAAUAGAUUUCACAUGAAUUGUAGUAGGCCCAAGUCAUUUAGCCAGUUAAAGACCGAAGUCUAUCUUCAUAAGAUGGGGCUUAGGUAUAUAGCAGAUUAGUUUUAGUACAAGUAGGAGUUUGUUAGAUGUGUGUCCUAGAAGUCAAUUUUGGCUAAUGCAUACUUUUUUCUACGACAUAUUUUUGUACUUGUCGGAUAACUUUUAAUU